UACGUAGGGCGCAAGCGUUGUCCGGAAUUAUUGGGCGUAAAGAGCUCGUAGGCGGCCUGUUGCGUCCGCUGUGAAAUCCCGGGGCUCAACCCCGGGCGUGCAGUGGAUACGGGCUGGCUGGAGGCAGGCAGGGGAGAACGGAAUUCCUGGUGUAGCGGUGAAAUGCGCAGAUAUCAGGAGGAACGCCGGUGGCGAAGGCGGUUCUCUGGGCCUGUACUGACGCUGAGGAGCGAAAGCGUGGGGAGCGAACAGG
rnacentral:rRNA from 1 species